UACGUAGGGUGCGAGCGUUAAUCGGAAUUACUGGGCGUAAAGCGUGCGCAGGCGGUCCGCAAAGUCUGAUGUGAAAGCCCCGGGCUCAACCUGGGAACUGCAUUGGAAACUAACGGGCUCGAGUGUGGCAGAGGGGGUGGAAUUCCGCGUGUAGCAGUGAAAUGCGUAGAGAUGCGGAGGAACACCGAUGGCGAAGGCAGCCCCUGGGUCGACACUGACGCUCAGGCACGAAAGCGUGGGGAGCAAACAGG
rnacentral:rRNA from 1 species